UACGUAGGGGGCAAGCGUUGUCUGGAUUUAUUGGGCGUAAAGAGCGUGUAGGCGGCUUUACAGGUCCGUUGUGAAAACUCGAGGCUCAACCUCGAGACGCCGGUGGAAACCGUAAGGCUAGAGUCCGGAAGAGGAGAGUGGAAUUCCUGGUGUAGCGGUGAAAUGCGCAGAUAUCAGGAAGAACACCCGUGGCGAAGGCGGUUCUCUGGGACGGUACUGACGCUGAGGCGCGAAAGCCAGGGGAGCAAACGGG
rnacentral:rRNA from 1 species